UACGGAGGGUGCGAGCGUUGUCCGGAAUCACUGGGCGUAAAGGGCGCGUAGGCGGCGCGGGCAGUCAACGGUGAAAGCUUGGGGCUCAACCCCGAGUCGGCCGUCGAUACUCCCGUGCUGGAGCACUGUAGAGGCAGGUGGAAUUCCGGGUGUAGCGGUGGAAUGCGUAGAGAUCGGAAGGAACAUCGGUGGCGAAGGCGACUUUCUGGACAGCUACUGACACUGAGGCACGAAAGCAUGGGGAGCAAACAGG
rnacentral:rRNA from 1 species